rnacentral:rRNA from 1 species
UACGGAGGGAGCUAGCGUUGUUCGGAAUUACUGGGCGUAAAGCGCGCGUAGGCGGCUUUGUAAGUUAGAGGUGAAAGCCCGGGGCUCAACCCCGGAAUUGCCUUUAAGACUGCAUCGCUUGAAUCCGGGAGAGGUGAGUGGAAUUCCGAGUGUAGAGGUGAAAUUCGUAGAUAUUCGGAAGAACACCAGUGGCGAAGGCGGCUCACUGGACCGGCAUUGACGCUGAGUGCGAAAGCGUGGGGAGCAAACAGG